rnacentral:other from 1 species
UAAAUCCUACAAUGUGCGUGUGCCUAUUUGAUUUUUUAACCAACACUUUUUUUAACGGGAGCUUAACUUUAGAUAUCUAAUAAAUGCCCUGAAUUUAAGGGACUUAUGAAAUAUCUAGGAGAGCACCCACCUGCUAAGCAGGUUUAAAAAACAAAGGGUCACGGCAUCGUGGGGUUUUU